UUUCCACAUAGGCCACUGAGUGUUUCCCAUGCAGGCUUGUCAUGGCCACAGUUUCCUGCAGGAUUUCAUCAAUUAGCAGCAGUGCAUAGCUGGUGGCAUAGUGUGUAGGUCCUGGGAUCAAACCUCUGGCUGCUGGGAUGUAGGGGAGCAUUGCAGUCUUUGUGGAAAACCAAAAUAUGGGGAUGACCAAAACAUGGAGAUGGAGACACCCAUCCAGUCACUGCUUCAACUAUCUCCUUUCCAGUCUCACCAUCAGAUGAGUCAGAGUUGGACUCCAGCUGGUCUGUAAAUGGUAAAAAAAAAAAAAAGUAGCGCCACUUGGUGAACCAAUUUAAAAAUUAAAACUUAAAAAUUGAAGGUGAGCAGUCCAAAAUAAAAUCUUAACAUAAAGGAAUGCAGUACUAGUAGUAGAUGUCGAGAUAAAUGGGGGUUAAAAAUGUGCAUUUUCAAUUAUUUUCAAUGAGACAUUUUGGCCUGUGAAUAAAAUGUGGUCGUUUUCACGCAGCUUGGCCAUUUUAAGCUAAAAGGAACCUGAGACAACGAUCGUAAAAAAAAAAGAAAAAUAGAUAUCUUCUGGCAAAUAUGAGCUAUGUUUAGUCAGCGCAGCCAAAAUAGCAUGAAAAUGUCCCCUCGACUAUCUAAGGGUUUAGAGUAGAGAAAGAAGAGGGCUCUAGUGUCUUGAUAACUUUUUCUUUGAAACAAAGACAUCAGCCUUCUGUGUUAAAAGGUUAAAAUACGCUAGUCUACUAUUUCAUAGGUAACAAUUUAAUUGCAUCUAGGGGAAGCCAGUGCUAGGAGGCAAAAACUAGAGAAAUAUAGUAAAUCAUAUGGGUAACUAGAAUUUGUGCUGCGCUAUUAGGAGCAAACAUGUUUUGUUUUUCAUAAAUGUCACAGCAAAAAAAAAAAAAAGGACAGGGAGGGAAAAAAAUCAUUAAAAUGGAUUAUGCACACAUUAGCAUUUAGCAAGCUUUACAAGCCAUGUUCCUGUUUACUCUCCACCAUAACACGUGUCUGCUGAUGUACAUGUACA
ensembl:lncRNA